AUGAGAAGGUAUUCUCAGUCUGAUCAGGAAGCCAAUUUGGAGUGCCCCUACAUGAAUUGGAGGCACAAUAUCGAACCUGAAUUUGCGACCAUCGUUCUUGCCGACCAAGAAUACUUGACAAACAUCUCAAUUCAGAAGCAGCUUGUUGGAAACGACAUCCCAUAUGACAUUACAUCAUGCCAGAUGUUCUUCCUGCCUGCCCCCCUCGAGGACGGUUGGAUAGUGAUCAUGUGGGACAUGAUGUCAAGGAAGCUCCAUGUACUGGACCCGCUCAUCAGGGGAGAAGGUCCACCUGACGCAACGAGAGAUAAGCAUGAGAUGAUUGUCUGGAAGCUACAUCAUGCACUUUUCCAAUGCCUUAAUGAGUAUUAUGCUGGGUGGCCAACGCAAGACGGACAAUGGGCAACCAAAUACCCCGUAAUAGCUGAAGAAACAUUCUGCAGAGAUAAAAGUGGUCGGUGUGCUCUCCAUAUAAUUAGGCACUACGAUGGCCAGAAGCUCAAAAUCCCCCUAACCAAGUACAAUGCUGGCAGAACAAAAAGGCAAGCACUUCAUGAGUACAUCAAGCUGCAGGGGAACUCAUCAAAGUUGGCGCAUGAGGCUCUGUGGACUGUCCUGGCGCCAACGGACUCAUGGGUUGAUUCAAUCCACUCCGGAUAUUCCAGGACAACUUGUUGGAACUGCGUCAGCCGAACAUGA
rnacentral:rRNA from 1 species